CUAAGAAUAUUCCGCAAUGGACGAAAGUCUGACGGAGCGACGCCGCGUGGAUGAGGAAGGCCGAAAGGUUGUAAAAUCCUUUUGCGGGUGAAGAAUAAGCCGGGGAGGGAAUGCCCUGGUGAUGACGCUAAUCCGCGAAUAAGCCCCGGCUAAUUACGUGCCAGCAGCCGCGGUAACACGUAAGGGGCGAGCGUUGUUCGGAAUUAUUGGGCGUAAAGGGCGCGUAGGCGGUUAUAUAAGUCUGGCGUGAAAGGCGGGAGCUAAACUCCCGGACUGCGUUAGAAACUGUAUAGCUUGAGUCAUGGAGGGGGAAUCGGAAUUCCUGGUGUAGGGGUGAAAUCUGUAGAUAUCAGGAAGAACACCGGUGGCGAAGGCGGAUUUCCAGCCGAUGACUGACGCUGAGGCGCGAAAGUGCGGGGAGCAAACAGGAUUAGAUACCCUGGUAGUCCGCACUAUAAACGAUGUGCACUAGGUGUUGGGCCGAGCGGUUCAGUGCCGAAGCGAACGUGGUAAGUGCACCUGCCU
rnacentral:rRNA from 1 species